GCUGUUUGCUUACAAUCCGACCCUGCUUCGUGUACAAAUGCAAUGCCAUUUCGGCAGGGCUAUAGGCUACGAAACCUUUCGAACUCGAAAAGGCGCUACUAAUUUUGAAUAGGUACUUAAUAUUGGGUAAAAGUAAUAGAUAAGAUUGUUUUACAUUAAAUAUUUGACAGAUCGAUGUAACUCGUCAAGCGGAAUCCGAGAAGAAAAAUGACGGAUGUGCUGUUUGCUGAUAGUCCAGAACGGCUUCGUGUACAAAUGCAUGGCGGGGAGACCAGAAAGUUUUCGAAACUGCGUGAGUGGAAGUCUGCGUUGGACAAAUUUUGAAAAUAUCUGAAGGUUUAACGAAUUUUGGAGAAUUCGACAGAGCUACAGACUACGAAACCUUUCGAAACGAACACACGUGUCCUGUUGAACUUGAAAAAAGACGAAAUUAUUUUUAAAAAGAUCAUGGUAACUCGUGAAGCAACAUCUCAGAAUUGAAUCGGGGAACGAGGAAUCAAAAAAAGGUUAACAAUUUGGAUCAUUUUGGAAGAUACAUACGCCGCGCUUUUCAAAGCGGACAGACGUGCCCUUGUCCAACUGAAACGAACACACGUGUCCUGUUGAACUUGAAAAAAGACGAAAUUAUUUUAAAAAGAUCAUGGUAACUCGUGAAGCAACAUCUCAGAAUUGAAUCGGGGAGUUGUGUAUUUGCUGGCAAUCCGGGCCUGCUUGGAUCAUUUUGGAAGAUACAUACGCCUGCGCUUUUCAAAGCGGACAGACGUGCCCGUGUCCCACUUGACAAAGGCGGAAUUAUUUUAGGAAAGACCAUGGCAACUAGUAAAGCAGAAUCCGAGAAUUCAAUCGGCGGCUGUAUGUUGACUGACAAGAAUAUAAUUGCUGUUAAUCCGGCCCUGCUUCUUGUACAAAUGCAUAGUGGGGAGACAUGAACAUUUUUCGAAAUUGCGGCCCUAUCCUCUUGGGAUUCUACGUUGGACAAAUUCUGAAAACGACCCAGAAAUAUAAUUGGAGGUUCAAACCCGUGCGAGGUGAGGUUUGAUAUAUGAAACAGACCAGUCAUGGGGACACGAGAUAUGGAAAGUUUCAGCGUAGUCGUCGCCACAUUGCUGCCAACACUGCAUAUAUAAGGAAUCACGAACCAUUCAGGUAAAAUUUUGAAAACACAUAGUUAUGGCAAUAUAGAACCUCUCUUUUUUUAACAGGAAUAUUGAGAC